GUGGCCUUCCCGCGCCCGCCCGUCGGGGCAGAGCCGCCGGCCUGAGACGGAGGGCGCUGCUGAGCCCAGGGGUUGAGAGUCCUGGUUCCUGCUGUGGUCCCGGAGCUCCACCUGAGACCGGAGGGAAGCCGUCUGCCCUAUCAAGGUUAUGCUAGUCUUAUGAAACAAGGAGGAGAGUGUUCCUGGUUUACCCCAAGAGUUCCUGUGAGAUUGCUGUUUACUUCCCUGGCUUUUUGGAAGAAUUGAUUGGCAAAACAAGUAAAGCAUUUCCCACUGCUAGGAAUUUAGUGAGGCCAGCAGACUCUACAAUUGUGCCACUUGAAUUUGGGAAGAAGGUGGAGCAAGCGGCCCACGCAGCCUGGGGACGGAGGAGCCGGUGUGCCCGCUUCCCCUGCGCCUGCCAGCCCAGGGCAGGCCUUGCGAUGACAGGAUGCUGGUGGUGGACGAGAAGCUGAGGAGGGCGGGGCUGCGUGACCUGUGUUCUGUGAUGGGGUCACA